GUUGGCCCUUUUGUGUCUCAAGAUCUUGUUUCUGCUGUCCCAGCAGUUUUGUUUGAUCCACCUUUGACCCAGGUAGUGAGGUGUUUAGCAGGUGUGAAUUUGUUUUACCUCUUAACAUACAGCCUUGGUCAUCAACAAUCAGCCCACAAUGAGGUGUACCUGGCCCAGGGAGGAAGAGCUUAAAUUUUCCAUGUUCCUGUGGCAGUGAGAGGCUUUUUGAUAGUGAACUGCUGGUCUU